GAUGAACGCUGGCGGCGUGCCUAAUACAUGCAAGUCGAGCGAACAGAUGAGGAGCUUGCUCCUCUGACGUUAGCGGCGGACGGGUGAGUAACACGUGGAUAACCUACCUAUAAGACUGGGAUAACUUCGGGAAACCGGAGCUAAUACCGGAUAAUAUAUUGAACCGCAUGGUUCAAUAGUGAAAGACGGUUUUGCUGUCACUUAUAGAUGGAUCCGCGCCGCAUUAGCUAGUUGGUAAGGUAACGGCUUACCAAGGCAACGAUGCGUAGCCGACCUGAGAGGGUGAUCGGCCACACUGGAACUGAGACACGGUCCAGACUCCUACGGGAGGCAGCAGUAGGGAAUCUUCCGCAAUGGGCGAAAGCCUGACGGAGCAACGCCGCGUGAGUGAUGAAGGUCUUCGGAUCGUAAAACUCUGUUAUUAGGGAAGAACAGAUGUGUAAGUAACUAUGCACGUAUUGACGGUACCUAAUCAGAAAGCCACGGCUAACUACGUG
rnacentral:rRNA from 1 species